rnacentral:lncRNA from 1 species
GCCCCUACGGGAGCCGAACUUCAUCCUUGAGCUCCUAUUGCAGGUAGGCCCCAUCCGAACUCUGACAAGGGUCGGACUCCGAACUUCUACUACAAGCGGUCUACUUCGAACUUCUACUACAAGCGGUCUACUUUGAGCUACCACAACAAGCGGCAGGCUUCGGCCGAGCUUCCUCCACAAAUGAUCCCCGUCCAGACUUCUUCGGGAACCGGACUCCGAUCGAACUUCUGUAGCGGAUAGAAUCCGGACGAACUCCUACGACACACGGACUCCAGC